GGGAAACCCAACACAAGUUAUGUUGUGUUAUCGACAAGUGAAUUCAUAGCUUGUCAGAAGGCAGACCCGGAGAACUGAAACAUCUUAGUACCCGGAGGAAGAGAAAGAAAAUUCGAUUCCCUGAGUAGCGGCGAGCGAAACGGGAAGAGCCCAAACUAAUAAGCUUGCUUAUUGGGGUUGUAGGACACUCUGUACGGAGUUACAAAGGAAUAUGUUAAACGAAUCAUCUGGAAAGU
rnacentral:rRNA from 1 species